AACAUAAGCUGGGCAGGUCUUUGUGGGGCAAGGCGUUGUGGGUUAAGAAUAGAAAAAAAUAUUAAGCUGGGCGUACCCGCCUAUCGCCAUCCCUAUGGGGAUCAAUGCAACAAAGGUUGCAUUAAUGGUCUUCUAGAAAACGGUUUUUUAUGGAAGUUCUCUACUAGUGCUACCAAGUCGAUUUCCCAACCGUGUUUCGAGGAAAUCCCCAUUUGAGAUUGUGAUUUGAAAUCUUACCGGAGACUUCAUAUCACAUUCCAAACGCAAGCUACGUGGGCCGCGAAAUCAGCCCGGCCCAAGAAUGAAAAGACACACACGGGCCGAGUUCAUACCCUUCUAAUUUUACCUGAACCUGUCUAUCUCCCCCGUUUCCGUCUUCUUCAGUUCCUUUCUUUCUCAGGCAAGAAUUUAAAGAAACGUGAUCAAGUUAUAGAGGGGAUGGAUUUAGUUGUGAUGAACCAGGGCGGGUAUUUGGUAUUUGGUAAAGAAAACUCGGGUUCGAGGGAAGAUAGGCAACUUCAUUUACAGGUCAGCUCCCUCCUAGCUGCCAAGAGUUGUGCCAUUGUUACCGGAUGUCAAUUAAUCAUAUGUCUACCAUGUGGCUCCAACGCGGUAUUCGAUUAGGCACACGUUGGCUCAAGAACUUCGUGUUCGAUAAUAAAUGGCUAAAGUGCAAAUUAAGGCGUAUAAUGGAAGAAGGUGAUAUGAUUAAUAAAUGGUUAUGCACGAGUGGCUUGUUCUUCUAAUGUUCUCUGCCAUCCACAGCAUAAUAAAGUGAGGUAGACCCUUAUACAACACGUUUUAAUUAAUGCUCAAUUGAUGAUUAUUUGCACCAAACACUUCUAAUUUCCCCCUAAUUAUUGUUAGUUAGAAAUAAACAAGUCUCAGAGGUUACUAGUGGAGGAUAUACAAUGCUAAAGGUUGGCAUAA